AUAUCUCUCCGUACGGGAAGGAUGAGAAGCUUCGACUAAGGUUCGAUUCGAGCGCAGCGAGAACGCGUU
rnacentral:sRNA from 5 species